rnacentral:rRNA from 1 species
GUCAGCUCGUGUCGUGAGAUGUUGGGUUAAGUCCCGCAACGAGCGCAACCCUUACUGUUAGUUGCUACGCAAGAGCACUCUAACAGGACUGCCGUUGACAAAACGGAGGAAGGUGGGGAUGACGUCAAAUCAUCAUGCCCCUUACGCCCUGGGCCACACACGUACUACAAUGGCGCAAACAGAGGGGAGCAAAACCGCGAGGUAGAGCAAAUCCCAAAAACGCGUCCCAGUUCAGAUUGCAGGCUGCAACUCGCCUGCAUGAAGUUGGAAUUGCUAGUAAUCGCGGAUCAGAAUGCCGCGGUGAAUACGUUCCCGGGA